GAUGAACGCUGGCGGCGUGCCUAAUACAUGCAAGUCGAGCGAACAGACGAUUAGCUUUCUCCUCUGACGUUAUCGGCGGACGGCUGAGCAACACGUGGAUAACCUACUUAUUUUUCUUGUUUAACUUCGGGAAUCCGGUUCUACUACCGCAUAAUAUUUUGUACCUCUUGGUUCAUUAGUUUUUGACGGUUUUGUUGUCUCUUUUAGAUGUUUCCGCGCCGCAUUAGCUUGUUGGUAAGGUAACGGCUUACCAAGGCAACGAUGCGUAGCCGACCUGAGAGGGUGAUAGGCAAAAAUGGAACUGAGAAACGGUAAAGAGGACUACGGGAGGCAGCAGAAGGGAAUAUUAGGCAAUGGGGGAAAGCAUGACGGAGCAAAGCCGCGUGAGUGAAGAAGGACGUCGGAUGGUAAAAAACUGUUAUUAGGGAAGAAAAAAAGUGGAAGAAAAUAUGGACGGGGUGACGGUACCUAAAGAAAAAGCAACGGCUAACUACGUG
rnacentral:rRNA from 1 species